GCAUUUUUAGUCUUUUAUUCAACAUCGCCUCCCCCUUACCAGUAAAAUUAUGUGUCAGUGUGACCAGCUAAAAAUUAUUUUUCCUGCUUUCUUUGGAUAGUAAAGUCCUGUCCCUUUGCUUUUUCCCUGAACACAGGGGUUCCUUCUUCAGGCUGGGAUGUGAUAGCUUGUACUCUAGCAGCAAUCUUGUUACCACCAUGAAGCAACUGAUGGAAAAGUGAGACACAACACCAGGAGCCUGGGUCGCUGAUGACAGGAGGUAGGUCAGCUGUCUCUCCCGGUCCUGCAAGUAGUGGCCUUGUGCGGAAGAGGUCCUGUGGUGCCCUACAGCGCAAUCCCCCCAGUCACCAGAACCAGGCACUUUUCGAGCUGCUGCUUUGCUGUGUUCCUGGCGAGUUACUGAGCAUGCUGGUUCUUUAAAGGCUCCAUACCCAGCGUGGAGCCCAACAUGGGGCC